rnacentral:tRNA from 1 species
GCCCCAUUCGUCUAGUGGCCAAGGACAUCGGGCUUUCCGCUCGGGAACAGGGGUUCGAAUCCCUUAUGGGGCU